UAUGGAUUAAGUUCACUGUCUUAUCUGGGCAGAAUUCCAGCAGUAACACUGAAGAUCACUGAUCACAGAUCACCAUAGCAAGUAUAAUAAUGAAAAAGCUUAAAUAUUGUGAGAAUUAACAAACUGUGACACAGUGACAUGAAGUGAGCAACUGCCAGGAGAGGAG